rnacentral:rRNA from 1 species
UUAAGCGACUAAGCGUACACGGUGGAUGCCCUGGCAGUCAGAGGCGAUGAAGGACGUGCUAAUCUGCGAUAAGCGUCGGUAAGGUGAUAUGAACCGUUAUAACCGGCGAUUUCCGAAUGGGGAAACCCAGUGUGAUUCGUCACACUAUCAUUAACUGAAUCCAUAGGUUAAUGAGGCGAACCGGGGGAACUGAAACAUCUAAGUACCCCGAGGAAAAGAAAUCAACCGAGAUUCCCCCAGUAGCGGCGAGCGAACGGGGAGCAGCCCAGAGCCUGAAUCAGUGUGUGUGUUAGUGGAAGCGUCUGGAAAGGCGCGCGAUACAGGGUGACAGCCCCGUACACAAAAAUGCACAUACUGUGAGCUCGAUGAGUAGGGCGGGACACGUGGUAUCCUGUCUGAAUAUGGGGGGACCAUCCUCCAAGGCUAAAUACUCCUGACUGACCGAUAGUGAACCAGUACCGUGAGGGAAAGGCGAAAAGAACCCCGGCGAGGGGAGUGAAAAAGAACCUGAAACCGUGUACGUACAAGCAGUGGGAGCACAGAGCAAUCUGUGUGACUGCGUACCUUUUGUAUAAUGGGUCAGCGACUUAUAUUCUGUAGCAAGGUUAACCGAAUAGGGGAGCCGAAGGGAAACCGAGUCUUAACUGGGCGUUAAGUUGCAGGGUAUAGACCCGAAACCCGGUGAUCUAGCCAUGGGCAGGUUGAAGGUUGGGUAACACUAACUGGAGGACCGAACCGACUAAUGUUGAAAAAUUAGCGGAUGACUUGUGGCUGGGGGUGAAAGGCCAAUCAAACCGGGAGAUAGCUGGUUCUCCCCGAAAGCUAUUUAGGUAGCGCCUCGUGAAUUCAUCUCCGGGGGUAGAGCACUGUUUCGGCAAGGGGGUCAUCCCGACUUACCAACCCGAUGCAAACUGCGAAUACCGGAGAAUGUUAUCACGGGAGACACACGGCGGGUGCUAACGUCCGUCGUGAAGAGGGAAACAACCCAGACCGCCAGCUAAGGUCCCAAAGUCAUGGUUAAGUGGGAAACGAUGUGGGAAGGCCCAGACAGCCAGGAUGUUGGCUUAGAAGCAGCCAUCAUUUAAAGAAAGCGUAAUAGCUCACUGGUCGAGUCGGCCUGCGCGGAAGAUGUAACGGGGCUAAACCAUGCACCGAAGCUGCGGCAGCGACGCUGAUGCGUUGUUGGGUAGGGGAGCGUUCUGUAAGCCUGCGAAGGUGUGCUGUGAGGCAUGCUGGAGGUAUCAGAAGUGCGAAUGCUGACAUAAGUAACGAUAAAGCGGGUGAAAAGCCCGCUCGCCGGAAGACCAAGGGUUCCUGUCCAACGUUAAUCGGGGCAGGGUGAGUCGACCCCUAAGGCGAGGCCGAAAGGCGUAGUCGAUGGGAAACAGGUUAAUAUUCCUGUACUUGGUGUUACUGCGAAGGGGGGACGGAGAAGGCUAUGUUGGCCGGGCGACGGUUGACCCGGUUUAAGCGUGUAGGCUGGUUUUCCAGGCAAAUCCGGAAAAUCAAGGCUGAGGCGUGAUGACGAGGCACUACGGUGCUGAAGCAACAAAUGCCCUGCUUCCAGGAAAAGCCUCUAAGCAUCAGGUAACAUCAAAUCGUACCCCAAACCGACACAGGUGGUCAGGUAGAGAAUACCAAGGCGCUUGAGAGAACUCGGGUGAAGGAACUAGGCAAAAUGGUGCCGUAACUUCGGGAGAAGGCACGCUGAUAUGUAGGUGAAGUCCCUCGCGGAUGGAGCUGAAAUCAGUCGAAGAUACCAGCUGGCUGCAACUGUUUAUUAAAAACACAGCACUGUGCAAACACGAAAGUGGACGUAUACGGUGUGACGCCUGCCCGGUGCCGGAAGGUUAAUUGAUGGGGUCAGCGCAAGCGAAGCUCUUGAUCGAAGCCCCGGUAAACGGCGGCCGUAACUAUAACGGUCCUAAGGUAGCGAAAUUCCUUGUCGGGUAAGUUCCGACCUGCACGAAUGGCGUAAUGAUGGCCAGGCUGUCUCCACCCGAGACUCAGUGAAAUUGAACUCGCUGUGAAGAUGCAGUGUACCCGCGGCAAGACGGAAAGACCCCGUGAACCUUUACUAUAGCUUGACACUGAACAUUGAGCCUUGAUGUGUAGGAUAGGUGGGAGGCUUUGAAGUGUGGACGCCAGUCUGCAUGGAGCCGACCUUGAAAUACCACCCUUUAAUGUUUGAUGUUCUAACGUUGACCCGUGAUCCGGGUUGCGGACAGUGUCUGGUGGGUAGUUUGACUGGGGCGGUCUCCUCCUAAAGAGUAACGGAGGAGCACGAAGGUUGGCUAAUCCUGGUCGGACAUCAGGAGGUUAGUGCAAUGGCAUAAGCCAGCUUGACUGCGAGCGUGACGGCGCGAGCAGGUGCGAAAGCAGGUCAUAGUGAUCCGGUGGUUCUGAAUGGAAGGGCCAUCGCUCAACGGAUAAAAGGUACUCCGGGGAUAACAGGCUGAUACCGCCCAAGAGUUCAUAUCGACGGCGGUGUUUGGCACCUCGAUGUCGGCUCAUCACAUCCUGGGGCUGAAGUAGGUCCCAAGGGUAUGGCUGUUCGCCAUUUAAAGUGGUACGCGAGCUGGGU